rnacentral:lncRNA from 10 species
UGAAUGAAGCUUGCAUCUGAGGGUUCAAGCCUAAUCUGUAGACAGUGAUCUAGGGCACAUUCCAGGGUCUCUGAUUCUGCCAGUGCUUCUAGUAACACAAACUGACGUUUCUAAACAGAGAUGACAGACUCCUAAGAGAUGCUGAGAAGCUGUUAAAGGCUAAAGAAGGGAGCAGCAUGCACGUUGAACCCAUUUGUAGUUUUCACUGGUGUCUGAUAAUUGCUUAUUGCAGAACACAGAAAGCCAAGGUCUGCAUGCUUUCAGUUGAUGCCAUGGAAGUCCCUGCCUUUUCCAGGUAGUUCUGUCCCAUGGGGCAGAAUAUAGAGUGGAGCUCUGAGGAAAAGUCUCCAGAUUUUAAAUUAUAUUUUUCUCAAGAGAAUUUUCUUUAAUGUAUGAUAUACUGGCAUUUCCUUUUUGUGUACAGUUUUUCUAGACUGUAAAUUAACAAAUUAUGAAUUAAUCAUACAACAUUAAAUCUCAUCAAACUAUUGAUAAUAUUCCAACAAGCACUUUACUACCUGCUGUGUUAAGCAGGGCUUUCUACUAUUAUUUGAUCCACCUAGUUAUUUUAUUUGCUUUUCUCUGUUCUGGUUUCCCUUCUGCAUCCCCAUGUCUAGUACAGUGCCUGGCAAAUGACAUCUAGAACUUCCAGAAGGCUUAUUUGGUAAAUGGAUGAAAUGAACAUAGAAUCUUCUUCAUCUUCAUCUUUUUAUUUCCUUGAUUGUUUGAUUUUCUCUCGGUUGACUUCAACACCAUAGUGAUAUUCUUGUAAAAGUUUAAGAUCAUUCUAGAAUCUUACAAGCCAAUAGCACAUCCAUGUACCCUAUGCGUAUUACAGAAGAUAUGCCCAUUAGAAAUGUUGGUCAGAUUAAAACUUUAAUAAAUGGAGAGCAGACCUGUUGCUGAUGAAGAGACUGCAUACCACA